rnacentral:rRNA from 1 species
AGGAUAAACGCUGGCGGCGUGCCUAACACAUGCAAGUCGAACGUCUCUUCUUUCGGGAAGAGGAGUGGCGGACGGGUGAGGAACACGUGGGAACCUGCCCUUUAGUGAGGAAUACCGGCGAGAAAUCGCCGACAAGACCGCAUAGCCCUCUUUGAUGAGAGUCAAAGAAGGAAAGCUUCGCAAGAGGCGCUAGAGGAGGGGCCUGCGUCCGAUUAGCUAGUUGGUGGGGUAAGAGCCUACCAAGGCGUCGAUCGGUAGCUGGUCUGAGAGGACGAUCAGCCACACUGGGAUUGAGAACGGCCCAGACUCCUACGGGGGCAGCAGUGAGGAAUUUUCGGCAAUGGGGGAAACCCUGACCGAGCAACGCCGCGUGCAGGAAGACGGCCUUCGGUUGUAAACUGUCUUUUCUUGGGACGAGGGAAGGACGGUACCAGAGGAAUCGAGCCCCGGCUCACUACGUGCCAGCAGCCGC